rnacentral:lncRNA from 1 species
UUGUUUAUUACAAGGUGCCGGUGUGGAAUGUUUCUCUACCGCCCGUGAGCAGUACCCAGCUUUAAAAACGGAACCCGCAUCGACAUUCUCCAACUGCGUAGAGGAUGGCAGGCCAAACCAAAGUCACAGAGUAUUACCACGAGAAAUUGUAGACCCGACCAAUUGUAUUGGCGAGGGGUGGUGGAGAAGAAGGGUGGCCCAUG